rnacentral:rRNA from 1 species
CAAAAGGUUAGAUACCCUGGUAGUCCACGCUGUAAACGAUGAGUACUAGGUGUCGGGGGUUACCCCCUUCGGUGCCGCAGCUAACGCAUUAAGUACUCCGCCUGGGAAGUACGCUCGCAAGAGUGAAACUCAAA